UACGGGGGGAGCAAGCGUUGUUCGGAUUUACUGGGCGUAAAGGGCGCGUAGGCGGCGCGACAAGUCACUUGUGAAAUCUCCGGGCUUAACCCGGAGCGGCCAAGUGAUACUGUCGUGCUAGAGUGCGGAAGGGGCUACUGGAAUUCUCGGUGUAGCGGUGAAAUGCGUAGAUAUCGAGAGGAACACCUGCGGCGAAGGCGGGUAGCUGGGCCGACACUGACGCUGAGGCGCGAAAGCUAGGGGAGCAAACAGG
rnacentral:rRNA from 1 species